rnacentral:rRNA from 1 species
AUUGAACGCUGGCGGCAGGCCUAACACAUGCAAGUCGAACGGAGCGGCGGACGGGUGAGUAAUGCCUAGGAAUCUGCCUGGUAGUGGGGGAUAACGACCAGAAACGGGAGCUAAUACCGCUUACUCUCAGAUGAGCAUAGGUCGGAUUAGCUAGUUGGUGGGGGAAAGGCCUACCAAGGCGACGAUCCGUAACUGGUCUGAGUGGAUGAUCAGGCACACUGGAACUGAGACACGGUCCAGACUCCUACGGGAGGCAGCAGUGGGGAAUAUUGGACAAUGGGCGAAAGCCUGAUCCAGCCAUGCCGCGGGUGUGAAGAAGGUCUUCGGAUUGUAAAGCACUUUAAGUUGGGAGGCGUUACCAACAGAAUAAGCACCGGCUAACUUCGUGCCAGCAGCCGCGGUAAUAC